rnacentral:rRNA from 1 species
UACGGAGGGUGCAAGCAUUAAUCGGAAUUAUUGGGCGUAAAGGGUGCGUAGGUGGCGGGGUAAGUCGGAUGUGAAAUCUCCGAGCUCAACUCGGAAAUGGCAUUGGAAACUACCUUGCUCGAGGGUUGGAGGGGGGACUGGAAUGCUUGGUGUAGCAGUGAAAUGCGUAGAUAUCAAGCGGAACACCAGUGGCGAAGGCGAGUCCCUGGACAACUCCUGACACUGAGGCACGAAAGCUAGGGGAGCAAACAGG